ACCCCAAGAGCAACUUCAUUACAAUUUUUUUACAAUGUGUCCAAAGGCAUCUCCAAACCUUCACAAAAUAGGUUCUGAAGGCUUUGAUCUGAUAGAGAAGCACUAUGGUCGAUUCAGAAGGCCUCAAGUUCCCACAGUACAUGAAGUGCCUGUGAUUGUCAAUAGCAAUAACGCAGUUGAUCUAUUUGGUGGGGUUAAUAUUGACAAUAUUGAAAAGCCAAAACCACCACGUCGAAAUUGGGCUGGUAGAUCAUUGGUUUCGUUAAAUAUAUAGUGUCAACUAGUGUGUAUGUAAUUCUACUUAGGUUUGCUCUUCUGUUUUUCUUUCCCCUUUAUUACAUACUUGCAAGAAGUAUGAAAGUACUGAAAGAGCUUGCGGUAGUGUCACUAGCUAGUGUGCAUAAGUUUUUUGUGUAGCUGAAAGAUGAUAUGUAUAUGAUUGCCUUGUAGCGGAUAUGCAAUAGGGUUGUCUUGUAUGUAUUGAUAUUUGAAAUUUACAUUUUCUC